GAUGAACGCUAGCGGCAGGCCUAACACAUGCCAGUCGAGGGAGGAGCCUUCGGGCUUCGACCGGCGUACGGGUGCGUAACGCGUAUACAAUCUGCCUUUCACAUAGGGAUAGCCCGAAGAAAUUUGGAUUAAUACCUAAUGGUAUAUAGAUGUGGCAUCACCUUUAUAUUAAAGCUGAGGCGGUGAAAGAUGAGUAUGCGUUCUAUUAGCUAGUUGGAGAGGUAACGGCUCCCCAAGGCGACGAUAGAUAGGGGUUCUGAGAGGGAUAUCCCCCACACUGGUACUGCGAUACGGACCAGACUCCUACGGGAGGCAGCAGUGAGGAAUAUUGGACAAUGGUCGGAAGACUGAUCCAGCCAUGCCGCGUGCAGGAAGACGGCCUUAUGGGUUGUAAACUGCUUUUGCAGGGGAAGAAUAAGGACUACGCGUAGUUUGAUGACGGUACUCUGCGAAUAAGCAUCGGCUAACUCCGUG
rnacentral:rRNA from 1 species